AUGCCGAAUCUAACUAUGUAUGUAGAUUCUUAAUUUUUGGUCCCGUUUUCAAAUUGGUCUACAUUAAGGUCCAAAGGGUCCAAAAAUUAAACUUAGUUUGAUUUUAACAAAAAUUGAAUCCUUGGGGUUCUUUGAUAUGCUGAAUUUAAAAAUGUACUUAGAUUUUUAAUUAUUGGCCUAGUUUUCAAGUUGGUCCAAAUGGGGUCCAAAAUUAAACUUUGUUUGAUUUCAUCAAAAAUUGAAUAAAUGGGUUCUUUGAUAUGCCAAAUCUAACUGUGUAUGUAGAUUCUUAAUUUUUGGUCCAGUUUUCAAAUUGGUCUACAUUAAGGUCCAAAGGGUCCAAAAUUAAACUAAGUUUGAUUUUAACAAAAAUUAAAUUAUUGGGCUUAUUUGAUAUGCUUUAUCUAAACAUGUACUUUGAUUUUUGAUUAUGGGCCCAGUUUUCAAGUUGGUCCAAAUCAGGAUUCCAUAUCAAGUAUUGUGCAAUAGCAAGAAAUUUUCAAUUGCACAGUAUUGCACAAUAGCAAGAAAUAUCUAAUUGCACAAUAUUGUGCAAUAGCAAUUAAUUUUUCAAUUGGAGUUAUCUUUCUUUGUAUAGAAUAGUAGUUGAUAAUAUAUGUUGGAAAUUUGCCAGACAUGACUAUGAUGUCAUUUUCUAUUUUUAUUUGGCAAUAACUUAAUGUAAAUAACUUCAUUGGAAAUUUGCCAAUAUAAAAUGUUGCUGAUGAAGUUUUUUUUUUCCUUAUCUUAUCUAAAAUAUUUUUAGCUUAAAAGUUGUGUCCAUA
rnacentral:lncRNA from 1 species